CACUUCUAAGGAAGGCAGCAGGCGCGCAAAUUACCCAAUCCUGACUCAGGGAGGUAGUGACAAGAAAUAACAAUAAACCGGCUUAUGCCGGUUUAAUUGGAAUGAGUACAAUUUAAACAUCUUAACGAGGAACAAUUGGAGGGCAAGUCUGGUGCCAGCAGCCGCGGUAAUUCCAGCUCCAAUAGCGUAUAUUAAAGUUGUUGCGGUUAAAAAGCUCGUAGUUGGAUUUCUGCUUAGUGCGACCGGUCCACCUUAGGGUUGGUAUCAGGUACGUACCGGGCAUAUUCCUAGGAAAUACGGCUGCGCCUCGUUGUGUGGCCUGUUCCCUGGGUCUUUUACUUUGAGGAAAUUAGAGUGUUUCAAGCAGGCAUCCGCCUUGAAUACAUUAGCAUGGAAUAAUACGAUAGGACUUUGGUUCUGUCUUGUUGGUUUCGGGAACUAAGGUAAUGAUUGAUAGGGACAGUUGGGGCGGUCUGUAUUCCAAAGCGAGAGGUGAAAUUCUUAGACCUUCGGAAGACAAACAGCUGCGAAAGCGUUCCGCAAGGAUGUUCCCUUUGAUCAAGAACGAAAGUUGGGGGAUCGAAGACGAUCAGAUACCGUCGUAGUCUCAACUAUAAACUAUACCAGCUAGGGAUCGGCCAACGUUAUUUAAACCGACUUGGUCGGCACCUUAUGAGAAAUCAAAGCAUCUGGGUUCCGGGGGGAGUAUGGUCGCAAGGCUGAAACUUAAAGGAAUUGACGGAAGGGCACCACCAGCCGUGGAGCCUGUGGCUUAAUUUGACUCAACACGGGAAAACUUACCAGGUCCAGACAUAGUAAGGAUUGACAGAUUGAUAGCUCUUUCUUGAUUCUGUGGGUGGUGGUGCAUGGCCGUUCUUAGUUGGUGGAGUGAUUUGUCUGGUUAAUUCCGUUAACGAACGAGACCCCAGCCUGCUAAAUAGCGCGCGUGAGCUUUGCUCGCGGCGAGCUUCUUAGAGGGACUAUGAUGCGCGAUAGCACAUGGAAGUUUGGGGCAAUAACAGGUCUGUGAUGCCCUUAGAUGUUCUGGGCCGCACACGGGCUACACUGGCGCCUGCAACGAGCAUAUCAGCUGGCCCGAGAGGGUCUUGGCUAAUCUUUUGAACCGGCGCCGUGCUUGGGAUUGACCUUUGCAAUUGUUGGUCAUGCAACGAGGAAUGCCUUGUAAACGCGAGUCAUCAGCUCGCAUUGAAUACGUCCCUGCCCUUUGUACACACCGCCCGUCGCUCCUACCGAUGAAUGUUCCGAUGAAAUUUUCGGAGAGCACCUGUGAACUUGGCUCUGCCUUGCGAACGGGAGGCUCAAAGUCACUUAAAUCUGAACAUUUCG
rnacentral:rRNA from 1 species